rnacentral:lncRNA from 1 species
GUAGAGAGGUAGAGACAGGUGGAGAGGUAUUUUGGGUCACUGUCAUGCUGGAAUACCCAUCCACGACCCAUUUUCAAUGCCCUGGCUGAGGGAAGGAGGUUCUCACCCAAGAUUUGACGGUACAUGGCGCCGUCCAUCGUCCCUUUGAUGCGGUGAAGUUGUCCUGUCCCCUUAGCAGAAAAACACCCCCAAAGCAUAAUGUUUCUACCUCCAUGUUUGACGGUGGGGAUGGUGUUCUUGGGGUCAUAGGCAGCAUUCCUCCUCCUCCAAACACAGCGAGUUGAGUUGAUGCCAAAGAGCUCCAUUUUGGUCUCAUCUGACCACAACACUUUCACCCAGUUGUCCUCUGAAUCAUUCAGAUGUUCAUUGGCAAACUUCAGACGGGCAUGUAUAUGUGCUUUCUUGAGCAGGGGGACCUUGCGGGCGCUGCAGGAUUUCAGUCCUUCACGGCGUAGUGUGUUACCAAUUGUUUGUUAACACACUAAGCCGUGGUAGAGAGGUAGAGACAGGUAGACAGGUAGAGAGGUAGAGAGGUAGAGACAGGUAGAGAGGUAGAGACAGGUAGAGAGGUAGAGACAGGUUGAGACAGGUGGAAAGGUUGAGACAGGUAGAGACAGGUAGAGAGGUAGAGACAGGUUGAGACAGGUGGAAAGGUUGAGACAGGUAGAGACAGGUAGAGACAGGUAGAGAGGUAGAGACAGGUAGAGACAGAUAGAGAGGUAGAGACAGGUGGAGAGGUAGAGACGGGUAGAGACAGGUAGAGACAGGUAGAGAGGUAGAGACAGGUGGAGAGGUAGAGACAGGUGGAAAGGUAGAGACAGGUGGAGAGGUAGAGACAGGUAGAGAAGUAGAGACAGGUGGAGAGGUAGAGACAGGUAGAGAGGUAGAGACAGGUAGAGAGGUAGAGACAGGUAGAGAGUUAGAGACAGGUAGAGAGGUAGAGACAGGUAGGGAGGUAGAGACAGGUAGAGAGGUUGAGACAGGUAGAGAAGUAGAGACAGGUAGAGAGGUAGAGACAGGUAAAGAGGUAGAGACAGGUAGAGAGGUAGAGACAGGUAGAGAGGUAGAGACAGGUAGAGAGGUAGAGACAGGUAGAGAGGUAGAGACAGGUAAAGAGGUAGAGACAGGUAGAGAGGUAGAGACAGGUAGAGACAGGUGGAGAGGUAGAGAUAGGUGGAGAGGUAGAGACAGGUAGAGACAGGUAGAGAGGUAGAGACAGGUAGAGACAGAUAGAGAAGUAGAGACAGGUAGACAGGUGGAGAGGUAGAGACAGGUGGAAAGGUAGAGACAGGUAGAGAGGUAGAGACAGGUAGAGAGGUAGAGACAGGUAGAGAGGUAGAGACAGGUAAAGAGGUAGAGACAGGUAAAGAGGUAGAGACAGGUGGAAAGGUAGAGACAGGUGGAGAGGUGGAGAGGAGAGGUGGAGGAGGAGAGGUGGAGGAGAGGAGAGGAGAGGUGGAGGAGAGGAGAGGUGGAGG